rnacentral:rRNA from 1 species
AUUGAACGCUGGCGGCAUGCUUUACACAUGCAAGUCGAACGGUAACAGGUUAAGCUGCCGAGUGGCGAACGGGUGAGUAAUGCAUCGGAACGUGCCCGGUCCGGGGGGAUAACGCAGCGAAAGCUGCGCUAAUACCGCGUACGAACUGAGGCUGAAAGCGUGGGACCGUAAGGCGUCACGCGAUCGGAGCGGCCGAUGUCAGAUUAGGUAGUCGGUGGGGUAAAGGCUCACCAAGCCGACGAUCUGUAGCUGGUCUGAGAGGACGACCAGCCACACUGGGACUGAGACACGGCCCAGACUCCUACGGGAGGCAGCAGUGGGGAAUUUUGGACAAUGGGCGCAAGCCUGAUCCAGCAAUGCCGCGUGCAGGAAGAAGGCCUUCGGGUUGUAAACUGCUUUUGUACGGAGCGAAAAGGCUCUCUCUAAUACAGGGGGCUCAUGACGGUACCGUAAGAAUAAGCACCGGCUAACUACUUGCCAGCAGCCGCCGUAA